rnacentral:rRNA from 1 species
UACGUAGGGUGCAAGCGUUGUCCGGAAUUAUUGGGCGUAAAGAGCUCGUAGGCGGUUUGUCGCGUCCGCUGUGAAAACGCGAGGCUCAACCUCGCGCCUGCAGUGGGUACGGGCAGACUAGAGUGCGGUAGGGGAGAUUGGAAUUCCUGGUGUAGCGGUGAAAUGCGCAGAUAUCAGGAGGAGCACCGGUGGCGAAGGCGGGUCUCUGGGCCGAUACUGACGCUGAGGAGCGAAAGCAUGGGGAGCGAACAGG